rnacentral:lncRNA from 10 species
AUAUGUUUGGUAAGAAGCAUCUGGGAUAACGAUCAUAGGAUUAUGUGAAAGAAGAGUGAGGCCAGAUGGUGUUCACUCACCGACUCACCCAGAGCAACUUCCUGUCAUGCAAGCUUUAUACAUGCUACUAAAUGCUCAAGCGGACAAUGAAAGAGAUUAACACUGGGUUCCAGUACGGUGCCAUCCUUUGAGGAGACCAACCAGUUACCUGGAGAGUAAGGAAGACUGACAGUGAGAGAACAAGACUAAUUCUGUGAGAAGUAACUUUCCCAUGUAAAAAGUUUUGAAUCAUUAUAGUCUUUUAAUAAAUUGCAAUAAAUCACAAUAAUUUCCAGUUGUAUUAAAAGUUUUUUGAUCAUCUAUUUGAAUCAGCCAAAUAGUAAUGUUUCUCUUGCAAAUGAGUGAAUUAUCAGUAUAAAAUUGUUUCUAACUGAACAGGGAUUAGGCUUUCAAACUUGAGUUUAUUGACAAAAAUUGAUAAAGAUAAUCUAAUUUUGCCUAAUAUACUUUUAUGUGUUUAGUGACCAUAACAAAUAAAUUGUUAUAUCAGGCCUGAGGUUGAUGAGGCAGAUAUUUUAUAAUAAGUUAUUAUUAUUAUGGUUAUUUUGUAUUAUAAAAUCAUUUUAUUACAUCUUGGAAUAAAUAUAAAAUUAAUUUUCUUAGCAAUUUCCCAAAAAAACAAUUUUGCUAUACUAAUAUAAGAGUAAUAUGAGUUCCUUAUGAGUCAUUAACCACAAUUGUUCUAGUAAUUAUAUUAUAAAUGUUUAUUUUCAAAGACAUUUUCAUUUAACAAAGAAUAGCAUGUAUGUUUUACCCAAGCAAAGAAAGGUUGUAAUAAUGAUAAAUUGAUAGUCAAAACAAAUCUUUCAGAUUUAAGGUUUCCCUUUCAAUGAAUAUAUUAGGAGUAUUAGGAAUAAUCAUUUACUGUAAGCUCAUUAGUAAAGCAGGUCAUUCACAAUUGCAUUUAAAUUUUAAUUGCGUUCUGCAGGAUUCCAGAAAUUAAGUAGUUCACUAAACCAUAGUACACCUUUCCUCUCUUCAGCCACUAACUUUUCUAUUCUUUGCUAAUAUAUCUUUGUGAUUCUUUUGCACUGGGGAAAAAUUAUUUGCAAAAUUAUCCCAAAGUGUUUAGAGUCCCAUUAAUACCACUUAGUUAUUUUUUACAUGUACAACCAGUCAUUCUAAUAUCAUGAUCUGAGAGAAGUAUUUCAGGAGGUCUGUAAAUUUGGUACAUAUAUAUAGGAAGUGUAUUUUUUUUUCUUAUUUGCUUUCACUAUUUCUGUGCUGUUAGAGAAAUAAAAAAGUUGAUGCAUCCAAAUGUGUGGGCAAUGAUUUAUUAUAAUGACUUACUUAUGAAUAAGCUAGCUCAGGUAUCUAGCUGCCUGUUAUUGCAUUAAAAUAUAUUUCUAUCUCAAGGGCAAAUCUUUAUUGCAAAUAAGAUUUAAUAUUUUAUAGAAAACAAAAAUAGUGCUAGAGUAGCAGUUUUAAAAUAUUUUAUACUAUAUUACUUAUGUGAGAAAAUUGUUAAAAUGCAGAUUUAAUGGAAAAGACUUCAAUAUAUCUAG